rnacentral:rRNA from 1 species
UAGGGAAUCUUCGGCAAUGGACGAAAGGCUGACCGAGCAACGCCGCGUGAGUGAAGAAGGUUUUCGGAUCGUAAAACUCUGUUGUUAGAGAAGAACAAGGACGUUAGUAACUGAACGUCCCCUGACGGUAUCUAACCAGAAAGCCACGGCUAACUACGUGCCAGCAGCCGCGGUAAUACGUAGGUGGCAAGCGUUGUCCGGAUUUAUUGGGCGUAAAGCGAGCGCAGGCGGUUUCUUAAGUCUGAUGUGAAAGCCCCCGGCUCAACCGGGGAGGGUCAUUGGAAACUGGGAGACUUGAGUGCAGAAGAGGAGAGUGGAAUUCCAUGUGUAGCGGUGAAAUGCGUAGAUAUAUGGAGGAAUACCGGUGGCGAAGGCGGCCCCCUGGACAAAGACUGACGCUCAGGUGCGAAAGCGUGGGGAGCAAACAGG